ensembl:ncRNA asRNA:CR45715 antisense RNA:CR45715
AGUGGGAAAAAGAGAGCGCCACACAAGUGAUAACGCGUCUUUUGGCACUGCAACUUUAUUUGCGCACUUUCCAAACAAAUUAACCCGAAUUAACGUCAAGCGGAAGUCAAACAAAAGGAUAUAGUCGUGCGAUCCGCUCGCUGAUCGGUGGCAUUAACGUCUAACUUAACCCGUGAAAAGUCGACUGGCGACUGAACGUGAAAAACUUCAAUUGAAGCGCUCCGAUCGCAGUUACAUACAUGCAUACAUACGUACUUAAGUGUAACAUACAGACAUACACAUGUACAUGUACUUGCUAUGUAUGUAUGCUUCUCUGCCGACGUCGGUGAAUGUGACCCUUUCGAGUUCCACUUUGACCAUGGCCAACAUUUGAAAGGGUAUGCUCGACCAUUGGGUCGGCUUAAUUAUAAAUAUGUACGUAGGUAACAAUUAUAAGUGUUUGUACACCAACGGAAUGAGAAAGAGUUGGAUAAUUACAGUUGCCAGGCAUUAGUUGCAAAUUCCAGAUGUGGAAAGUGCAUGUCUGCAAAAUAAUAAAUACUGACUAACAGGUUUGAAUUGGUAGGAAUUUCAAUCAUCAACGGAAAUGUUAUACAAAUUUUAACUUACAUGUGUGCAUAACACAUUCUUUAAAAACAAUAAGAAUACUUACAUAGUAAAUAUACAUACGUGCAAAGGGAUGAACAU